CUAUGGAACUUGUACUAAUAGGCAAAUUAGUACUCAUGGUACAAUACAAAAACAUAACACCCAGUCAUAUAGCUCUUGUAUAUAAACUGAAGUAAUGUUAAAAUAUCCUGCUUUAUUGCAGAUUUUGUACUUGGACACUGCAGCAAAUAACAGGGCAUCAACUGCAUUUUGUUUUUUCCUGAGAUCCACCCAGCUUCAUGGCUUACCAUCAAGGGUAAGAGGAGAUCAGGGGGUCGAAAACCUUGACAUUGCAUGCUUCAGGUUUUCCACACGGGGAACGGGAAGAGCAAGCUUCAUCUCUGGAAAAAGCGUCCACAAUCAGAGGGUAGAGAGACUUUGGCGUGAUGUCUGGGUUGCCAUCACAAGCAAGUACCAUGAUGUUCUUC